UACAGAGGUCUCAAGCGUUGUUCGGAUUCAUUGGGCGUAAAGGGUGCGUAGGCGGCGCGGUAAGUCGAACGUGAAAUCCCCGAGCUCAACUCGGGAACUGCGUCCGAUACUGGCGGGCUUGAAUCCGGGAGAGGGAUGCGGAAUUCCAGGUGUAGCGGUGAAAUGCGUAGAUAUCUGGAGGAACACCGGUGGCGAAGGCGGCAUCCUGGACCGGCAUUGACGCUGAGGCGCGAAAGCUAGGGGAGCAAACGGG
rnacentral:rRNA from 1 species